rnacentral:rRNA from 1 species
UACGUAGGUGGCGAGCGUUGUCCGGAUUUACUGGGCGUAAAGGGAGCGUAGGCGGACUUUUAAGUGAGAUGUGAAAUACUCGGGCUCAACUUGAGUGCUGCAUUUCAAACUGGAAGUCUAGAGUGCAGGAGAGGAGAAUGGAAUUCCUAGUGUAGCGGUAAAAUGCGUAGAUAUAUGGAAGAACACCAGUGGCGAAAGCGGCUCUCUGGUCUGUAACUGACGCUGAGGUUCGAAAGCGUGGGUAGCAAACAGG